rnacentral:rRNA from 1 species
CCUACGGGUGGCAGCAGUGAGGAAUAUUGGUCAAUGGACGAGAGUCUGAACCAGCCAAGUCGCGUGAAGGAAGACGGCCCUACGGGUUGUAAACUUCUUUUGUAAGGGAAUAAAUAGUCUUACGCGCUAAGACGUUGCGGGUACCUUACGAAUAAGGAUCGGCUAACUCCUUGCCAGCAGCCGCGGUAAUCCGGGGGAUCCGAGCGUUAUCCGGAUUUAUUGGGUUUAAAGGGUGCGCAGGCGGCAUGUUAAGGCGGGGGUGAAAUUUUGCAGCGUAACUGUAAAAGAGCCUUCGAAACUGGCAAGCUUGAGUGGUGAUGAAGUAGGCGGAAUUUGUGGUGUAGCGGUGAAAUGCAUAGAUAUCACAAAGAACACCGAUUGCGCAGGCAGCUUACUAAACCAUAACUGACGCUCAUGCACGAAGGCGUGGGGAUCAAACAGGAUUAGAUACCCUAGUAGUCA